rnacentral:rRNA from 1 species
CGCGUAGGUGGUUGCGUCAGUCGGAUGUGAAAUCCCCAGGCUUAACCUGGGAACGUGCAUCCGAUACUGCGUGACUCGAGUGCAGCAGAGGGAAACGGAAUUCCUGGUGUAGAGGUGAAAUUCGUAGAUAUCAGGAGGAACACCGGUGGCGAAGGCGGUUUCCUGGGCUGACACUGACACUGAGGCGCGAAAGCGUGGGUAGCAAACAGGAUUAGAUACCCUGGUAGUCCACGCUGUAAACGGUGAGUGCUGGGUGUGGGAGGUGUAAUGCCUUCUGUGCCGAAGCUAACGCGUUAAGCACUCCGCCUGGGGAGUACGGCCGCAAGGUUGAA